GCUCCUCACGAAUGCUAGUUCGUGAUUUCACCCUUUUGAUCGCUGAUGUUGAUCGAACUCCUUCGAUUGAUGUGUGCCGACUCCUCGGAUGCUCUGGAUCAUCUGCACGAUUGGUUGAGAGGCUGAUGGAUCUCUCCCUGAAAUUUGGUGGACUCACGACACUCGUGGCACACCAAUCUCACUUCCCGAACCCUAGGUAGAAACCCUAGGGUACACACCAAAAAUCCUGCACCCA
rnacentral:lncRNA from 1 species